GUAGGUGGCAAGCGUUGUCCGGAAUUAUUGGGCGUAAAGCGCGCGCAGGCGGUUCUUUAAGUCUGAUGUGAAAGCCCACGGCUCAACCGUGGAGGGUCAUUGGAAACUGGAGAACUUGAGUACAGAAGAGGAAAGCGGAAUUCCACGUGUAGCGGUGAAAUGCGUAGAGAUGUGGAGGAACACCAGUGGCGAAGGCGGCUUUCUGGUCUGUAACUGACGCUGAGGCGCGAAAGCGUGGGGAGCAAACAGGGAUUAGAUACCCUGGUAGUCCAUGCCGUAAACGAUGAGUGCUAAGUGUUAGGGGGGUUUUCCGCCCCCCUUAGUGCUGCAGCUAACGCAUUAAGCACUCCGCCUGGGAGUACGGCCGCAAGGCUG
rnacentral:rRNA from 1 species